rnacentral:rRNA from 1 species
AUGUCGACGGCGGCGGCUACGGUGUUCCGCGGGUGCCGGGCCCUCAUGUCCCCGGCGGCGGCGGCGGCGGCAAAGGGGGGCAAGAAGACCGCAUCGGCGGCGGCGGCGGCGGCGGCGAAGGGGGGCAAGAAGCCCGCGUCGGCGGCCGCGAAGCCCAAGGCGGACAAGAAGCCGGUGGAUCCGAACAAUCUCCGCGGGAUCAUGCGGCCGGUGCCGGUCUCGGACGCCCUGCGCAAGUUCGGCGGCGCCGCUCACAUCUCCCGCUCCGGCGUCCUCAAGAUCGUCUGGGACUACAUCAAGGCCAAGGACCUCCAGAACCCACUGAACAAGAGGGAGAUCAUCUGUGACGAGAAGCUCAAAACCAUCUUUCCUGGGAGGGACACGGUUCAUAUGAUGGAGGUCACCAAGCUCUUGUCCCCUCAUUUCGUGAAGACUAUCUAA